rnacentral:tRNA from 1 species
GUAGGUGUAGUUCAGCUGGCAGAACACUGGUCUCCAAAACCGGAAGUCGGAGGUUCAAGUCCUUCCACCUAUGCAA